GUUUAGCAAAAUAAGAAUAAUUCUCUUUAUACUAACAGCUAUGAAAUAAAGAGCUUUACAAAAACUUACUUUACUUCAUGGUUUUACUUAUUUUAUUAUUCUAAACCAGGCAUAAAAUCUUUCCUUCAAAAUUGAAUGGGGAAUCUGGUUCCGGAUGAUUAUGUAGUCAUAAUGUGGUUCUUCAUCCCAGGAAGGGAGAGCUCUGACAAGGGUUUUCAGCGACCGAGAAGACAGGACACAUCAGACCUUACAGUAGAACUGCCUUGUGCUCUUUGAGUUGGCUCCUUUGGCUCCAGAUGGAGAAGAGAGAUGAGACAAAGUGUCAGAGAAGUUUCCUGCUUUAUGGGCACCCUGUGCAGCCUGAGACCACAGUUGGAAUACUCUAUUGUCUGCAGGAUUCUGGUAGAUGAGAUCACUGAUGGCAGCUUCCUUGUAACCCUGAAACUCGGGAUCUCCUGGCAGAGCUCAGACUGUCUAGAGUGGCUUCUGUUUUUCUGAUCAAACUUUAAUGGACACCUAGGACAACCUGCUUUCAGCUUAACAGUUGCCUUAGGAAACUUUUUGAUCCGUUUUUAUGAGCCAACAAACUGAACCUAAGCCUGGUGUGUACACUCAAAUUCAUUUGAAAGAAAAGGAAUGGUAAAAACUUAUCACCUUCAAUUUUGAACAAACUAUUUCGAUAAUAAUAUCUUGUACAUGGUAGGAACUAAAUAAAAUUUUGAAUAAAUCAUUGAAAAUAAUCA
rnacentral:lncRNA from 1 species